rnacentral:sRNA from 1 species
ACAGGCUAUUUUUUUUCUUGAUUUCAUGAUAACGACCUGUUUAUAGUAAACUGGCUUGUCAAUUAUUAUAUCUUAUAGAGUGAAAAUUCUUUUUAUUUGAUGUUUGAUUCUCAUUCAGAAACUUGUUUUUGCCUCUUCUUUUACAGUUUUUUAUUUACUAUCCAAAUGUGUUUUUUAAAACGUUAAAAAAACAAACCAAAACAGAUACUUAAUUCUUCCUUAUUGUGUUUGUGGUUUAUUCAGUGCUGUUGGGACAUUCGCCAGAGCCCUGGAUUGCAGCAGUUCUGUGAGGCAGCCUAGUUUGCAUAUGAGUGCUGCUGCAGCUUCCCGAGACAUCACCUUGUUUCACGCUAUGGAUACAUUGUAUAGACACAGCUAUGAUUUGAGCAGUGCCAUUAGUGUCUUAGUACCACUCGGAGGACCUGUUUUAUGCAGAGAUGAAAUGGAGGAAUGGUCAGCCUCUGAAGCUAGCUUAUUUGAAGAGGCACUGGAAAAAUAUGGCAAAGACUUCAAUGACAUACGGCAAGAUUUUGUAAGUAGAAAAUUAUGAGUAAAAUAAAAUGUUGAGAUGGGAAUAUUCUGUUUUAGAAAUCUGGUAAACCUUACAGUAUUCAUGUAGCAAGUUUGUGAGUUAAUAAUUUUUAUCUGC